GGGGCUGUUUGGCUUCGACAGGGACAUUGAUUUUUAUGGAUUGCAUAUCGCGGAUGUUCGCUCACGCGUCCUCCGGACCAGAGGUCACUCCGGACCGGCGGUAAAACAACGGACAAACUUACAAAUGCCAAUAAAGCAUUUAGCGGACUUCGGUUCGCGCCAGCACUGGCUUAAUUUCUAGUGCCGCUGAUUUCAGCUUGUACUCGGCAAGGUUGUGAUCGGCGUCGAUUUAGCCGAGUUGCAUUGUUGGAUGUCGGUGCCAACAACUAAGAUUCAUCCGACUUAUCCUAUUGUUGCUUUGUCUAUUUGUGAACAGUAGGGGAUACAAACCAAAUAGACUAUGUAUGUAGAAGUUUAUAAAAAUUAUUCUCUGGACGGGGGUUCAAUUCCCCCCAGCUCCACCA
rnacentral:tmRNA from 1 species